rnacentral:misc_RNA from 1 species
UUUCCGUAGGUGAACCUGCGGAAGGAUCAUUCAUAAUAAGGGGUUUAUGGCCCUGUUUUCAAUCCAUAUCUACCUUGUUAACAGUUGCAUGGUGGAGUUUCCUCUCGAUAGGCGCACCCCCAAACAUCAACGAUCUCUUAACUCCUUGACUGAAACGUAUGAUGAAUAAAUCAAUUCAAAAUAAAACUUUCAACAACGGAUCUCUUGGCUCUG